rnacentral:rRNA from 1 species
UACGUAGGGGCAAGCGUUGUCCGGAAUCAUUGGGCGUAAAGCGCGUGUAGGCGGCUCAGUAAGUCCGCUCUGAAAGCCCGGGGCUCAACCCCGGGAGGCGGGUGGAUACUGCUGAGCUUGAGUCCGGAAGAGGCGAGUGGAAUCCCGGUGUAGCGGUGAAAUGCGCAGAUAUCGGGAGGAACACCAAUGGCGAAGGCAGCUCGCUGGGACGUGACUGACGCUGAGACGCGAAAGCGUGGGGAGCGAACAGG